UGUUAGGCACUGUCAUUUUUGUCUAGUAAAUGAUGUUUCACAGCAAUACAGUGCAGCCCUUCAUCAGAACAAUGUUGCCUGAGUACUGAAACUUAAAUAAGUUUAGAAACCUUUGAAAGCAUCUUGUCAAAUUACAACCAAUACCUUCUGAAGAACUUUAUAAAAUGGUACUCAAAACAGCUUAGUUUUCUCUUUUAGUGAGUGCUGACAAAACAUUAAUGAGGAAGUGGACUCAAGAUAAGGAUACCAUCAUUUAUAUUACAUUUAACUUAUGCAUUACACUUUUUAUAUUUUAAAUUUUGCAUUUUAAAAUGUAAUUUUUGCUUGCAAUAUUUUAUCAACUUUUUUUUUUUAGAUCAAAGGAAUGUACAUGCUGCUGAUAUAGAAAAAGUUUCUGACUGCUUACAGAUCAGUGUUCUUAGUUCUGCUAUUGAUUUACUAUUGCAUAAUAAAUAAACAUGUAAUGAUCAAUCACAUUUUUAUACCAAGUUCAUCUAAUGAUUUACACAGCAUAUUAUCAGCAUUCACAGUUCAUCUAAUGAUCUACAUAUGAAGCAGCACCAUGCAGAGCUAACAUCACCUACUGAAGAGAGUUUCCAUCAUGCUUUAGCAACAAUCCAAAAACAAAAUGAAAAAGUGGUUUCUUUGUUUGGGACAAGUCCUGAAAGGCCUUCAGAAUCUGGGAGCACACUAUUGUUAACAAGCAGUGUGUCAUAUGACCAGCACAAUGACCAACAGCUUUUACUUUUCAAACCAAAGUCAGGACACUGUUCAAAGAUAUUUUAAGAUGUUGGCCUCACAUCUUGACACUUGUUAGAGUGUAAAGAUUUGACUUAACAAAUGUUAAAAUAAAAAGAGCACAUUGUGGAGGGUUGACCGUCAUUAAAAAAUUUACAUGUACUUAUUCUGUUUAAAAAAAUGUCCCUCUAACAAAUAAAAAAAAAUAAAGAUUGUCAGACUUCUGCUAGAUGUUGAUCUUUUCAUCACAACACCAAUAACUUCUUCUUGGAGUCAAGUAACAGUGUAUAUCACCUGAAAAAAGCUAUUUAAAUUCCCUUAAAGAUCACAAAUUAAUGCUGAUGACAUAAAGCACAUUUAUCCACGAAAUCUUAUGAACACAUAAUAUUAUGUUGUACAACUAAAUAGUGGUGUCUGGAAAUUUAGGCAGUGUGUAUGUAGUGUAUAUGCUUAUUUAUUAUUUAUCUGUUUCUUAAACAUAGGCUUAUGU